CAUACUCAAUGUUGAUACUAUCAAGUGGGGCCUUCUCCCAAAGUUUGUGCUGAGACUUUGGGAAACUGAUCUUCAUAUCACCAUAUUCCUCGUCGAUCAAGGCAACUGCCAUAUGAGCCAUCGAAGUCCUGACAUGUCGAAGCCUGAAUACCGUUUGGAGAUCAAUGAGGCAACCAGUUGGUAUCUCAAUACCGAAGUUGUACCUCAUCUUCAGCUUGUCGUUCGUUAUGUCAACGGUAGCAAAAGUGAUGCCGCUGCGAAGGAAGUCCAUGAGUUC
rnacentral:lncRNA from 1 species